CCGCUCGUUUUUCGCGGGUGACCCCAACCCUCUUUUUGGCGAAUAUUCGAGGCAUCUGGCUGCCCCUAUCCUCCCUCGCCUCGGAUCCAAACGUGUGGCACAUCCUAACACGACGACGCUAUCAACACAACACUGCCUCUCCCCUCUGCUUCCAAUCCAUGGCUGCUCCGCCGCGGCGAAACCCCAGCAACGGCGUCCGGUGGGUGAGCACCACACACCCACCGGCCUCCGGUGUCCACCCCCACUGAUACUGUCACCAGCCCCCCGCGACUCCGCCCCUGAACCGUAACCCUCUCUUCUGCCCCCUUCGCAGGACGAGGAGCCGUGACUCGCGGCGGGCCUCCGCCCGCCCAACUUCCUCCCGGGCGUGGCCAUCGGGUUCCUCCUCGGCCUCCUCGUCGAACUGUCCUCCUCCUGGAGGCCGAGGUUCAGCCUCCCGCCGGGCCCGUCUGCCCCGGCGCCACGGGGCUCCAAGCGGGCGGCCGCCGGUUCGUCCGCCGCCCCAGCACCAGGUGAAGAGCUCAAGAUGGCGCUGCUCCAUCACGAGGAGCACAGAUACCUUGGCAGUGUUUCCGGCAACAGCGUCAUCAAGCAAUAGGCGGACCUCUUCAGGAAGUUUAUCUUGAGUAAGCUGAUGCAUGUAUAUUACAAGAAGAUAAUUCAACAAACCAUCAAAACUAGCAGGAUAGAUGCUAUAUGUACCAAAUCAGCAGUACAUAGAUCUGUCAAAGAAGAUCGGACACAUUUAGUACUACCACCGUUAGUGACGAUGGUUGAUGUUCUAUGUACCAAAUCUGCGGGCAGUACCCAAAACCACCA